CCUACGGGCGGCUGCAGUGGGGAAUAUUGGACAAUGGGCGAAAGCCUGAUCCAGCCAUGCCGCGUGUGUGAAGAAGGCCUUCGGGUUGUAAAGCACUUUCAGUGGGGAAGAAAGCCUUGGGGCUAAUACCCUCGAGGAAGGACAUCACCCACAGAAGAAGCACCGGCUAACUCCGUGCCAGCAGCCGCGGUAAUACGGAGGGUGCGAGCGUUAAUCGGAAUUACUGGGCGUAAAGCGCGCGUAGGCGGUCUGAUAAGCCGGUUGUGAAAGCCCUGGGCUCAACCUGGGAACGGCAUCCGGAACUGUCAGGCUAGAGUGCAGGAGAGGAAGGUAGAAUUCCCGGUGUAGCGGUGAAAUGCGUAGAGAUCGGGAGGAAUACCAGUGGCGAAGGCGGCCUUCUGGACUGACACUGACGCUGAGGUGCGAAAGCGUGGGUAGCAAACAGGAUUAGAUACCCGGGUAGUC
rnacentral:rRNA from 1 species